UUCGAUUAAAAGACCAGUGCGCAAUCGGACCGGUAAACACCUGAUCAAACUGAACGGUUCUCUAUCUUUUGGGUCGGCUAUAAACCGGUGACUGCCCACGUGGGCCUGUCAAGUGGAGUGGACUCGUCAGCCAUGCAUGCGAGUAACACAAAAAUUGAGGGAAAAAAGGGUGAAGACUGGGAUUCGAACCCGUGACCAAGCUACAACACCAAAAAUACUCCACCGUUGGGCUAUGACAGCUGUUGUGAUUAUAGUGCAGCAUAUGUCUAUUUAAACCGGAUCAAAGCGGCGAUCUAACCGGUUAGACCAGUAAACCACUGAACCGAGCCCAUCAGAUGUUCAAUCAUCGAUCUGGUCUUAAUAACUAUGCUGGCAAGUGCCUACCCAUGCACAGUAACAAAAUGAUUAAUUAAUGCAUCAUAAACUUCAUUGGAAGUUACAAAGUUUAAAAUUAGCAGGAUAAAUAUAGCCACCAAAAUCCACUUCUGACAUUCAUCCAAAGGGUAAAAAUGAAAUUGCAUCUCAACUAUUCAUAUUUUACCUUUUUAAGUGAGUUAGUAAAUUAUACAUAUAGGGGAUCAAAAAAGACAUAC
rnacentral:lncRNA from 1 species